GGCGUUAUAGUGUAGUGGUCAUCACUUGGGAUUCUGAGUUUGUCCUGGUCACGUGACUCAUCUUCCCAAAACCCAGGUUCGAGCCCUGGUAACGCCU